CAAAAAAAAGGCAGCUGGCCGCGCCUAAAAUGCAGUCGAGCGGAAACGAGUUAUCUGAACCUUCGGGGAACGAUAACGGCGUCGAGCGGCGGACGGGUGAGUAAUGCCUAGGAAAUUGCCCUGAUGUGGGGGAUAACCAUUGGAAACGAUGGCUAAUACCGCAUAAUGCCUACGGGCCAAAGAGGGGGACCUUCGGGCCUCUCGCGUCAGGAUAUGCCUAGGUGGGAUUAGCUAGUUGGUGAGGUAAGGGCUCACCAAGGCGACGAUCCCUAGCUGGUCUGAGAGGAUGAUCAGCCACACUGGAACUGAGACACGGUCCAGACUCCUACGUGAGGCAGCAGUGGGGAAUAUUGCACAAUGGGCGCAAGCCUGAUGCAUCCAUGCUGCGUGUGUGAAGAACGCCUUCG
rnacentral:rRNA from 1 species